rnacentral:lncRNA from 1 species
CGCUGCCAUUAAAUCUUUAUUCUCGUCCUCCUCUAAAGCUACCGCUACCACCAACUAUAACUUCCCCCCACUUCCAUCUCAGAAGCCCUCCAAACCCACCUCAUUUUUUCCUGACCUUCGUCGCACUAAAUCAUUUUCAGCCUCUAAGAACGAAGGAUUUGGCCUCUUUUCCGGUGCUUUUGAGCCCCAGAGAAAAUCUUGUGACGUCCGGGUGAGGAACACACUUGGGUCACUCUUCACCAUCAACGACGACAAUAAAACCGCUAAUAAACCCUCUACUUCUACUCAAAACCCACAAUAUGGCCUGACAAACAAGCAAUGCGAAUCUUUUGUUGUCAAUAAAUCGGUUUAUGGGGAGACCAAAAGUGGGGAUGAUUUUGAAGACCCUGAAAACAUAGAGGACACUAAUGCUGCUGUUAAUGAUGAUGACAAAGAUGAAAUUACUCCAGUUCAAGAUUUCAUUUUAGAAAAUAUUGGACGUGACCUUGAAAGAGAGGUUGAUGUAGCUGAGAUAGUCGAAGAAGAUAUGGUAAAUGUGAAUAAUUUGAAGGCUAUGAAGGAUCAUAUAGAUCUUGAUAUCCAAGUGAAGAAGAGUUCUGGAGGGGGAUUUUGGUCUGCUGCCUCAGUUUUUAGCAAGAAAUGGCAGAAGUGGAGGAAACAAAAGUUGAAAAAGCAGAAUAAUGGUGAGCAUUUGGCUAAACUGCCUGUCGAAAAACCAAUUUCGAGGCAAUACAGAGAGACGCAGUCUGAAAUUGCAGAAUACGGGUUUGGGAGGAGGUCUUGUGAUACUGACCCACGGUUUUCUCUUGAUGUUGGGAGAAUUAGCCUGGAUGAUCCAAGGUAUUCUUUUGACGAGCCUCGGGCUUCUUGGGAUGGGCAUUUGAUUGGGAGGAGUUUUCCGAGAAUGGCGCCUAUGGUUUCUGUAAUGGAGGAUGCACCAACUAUGAAUGUAUCACGAUCUGAUAUGCAGAUUCCAGUAGAGGAUCCAGUGAUGACGACAGUGAACUGUGUUAAUGGGGACGAGGGUGUCCCUGGAGGGUCUGUGCAGACUAUGGAGUACUAUGCAGAUUCGUCCUCAAAAAGGAAGAGUCUUGAUAGGUCCAGUUCUGUAAGAAAGGCCUCGGCUGCUGUGGUGGCAGAGACCGAUGAAAUGAAGGUGGUUUCUAAUGCCAAGGUUUUACCUGCUACUGCUGAUCACUUUUGUGGGGCUAAGGCAUUGUUUGGGGACAGAGAGUUCUGGGAUUCAAAUUCAAAUUCCUUGAAGGAUGAUUAUUCAGAGACAUUUGAGUUGAGUAGUGGGUUUAGGGAUAAUAAUUCGAUGAUAGAGAAUGGGGAGCAAAAGGAGUUGAAAAAAUCAAGGAGGUGGAGUUGGAGAAUAUUGGGCUUUAUACAACGACGUGGUGGUGGGAACAAGGACGAGGAAGAUGAUAGGUACAGUAGAAUUGAUGGGGUGGAGAGAUCAUUUUCCGAGAGAGGAGAAUUCAACAGGAAUGUGUUUCGGAGCAAUAGUAGCGUGAGCUGCAGAAAUUCCACUCACAUUCUGGGAUCAUAUGGGAGUGCAAGAAAAUCAGACGUCCAACUGAAUGGACAUGGGAAGAAGUGCAAGGAUGAAUUUGUUUUGGAGAAGAAUCGAAGUGCAAGGCGUUCACCUAAUCACGUUGAUAAUGGACUCUUACGUUUUUACCUGACGCCCAUGAGGAGCAGCCGGAGAUGGGGACUGGCAAAAGUAAAGCCCAAUAGCUCACAAUCAAUCUCUAGAAGCAUCCUUAGGCCUUACUGAGCUAUGAAAUCUUCAUGUUGUCUUUUAAUUCAAGGUUAAUUUUGCUGAUCUGUCUUGUAACCACGAAUGCUCUUUUAAAUCUUAAUGUUUGGUCGGAUUAUCCAUAUUUGUGAUUUGAUCAAGAUGCUAUUUUGAUUGGGAUGAUAAUGAGAAAAAUCCAAUGUUUCUUUCUGUGUAGUUCUUCGCAUGUUGUCUUGCUACAAGAUUUUCUUGUCCUAUGCGGAGUUGGAGUUUCACCUGUUACUUCUACGAUAUUUGUCAGUUUUUCAAAUUAUUCUUAAGCCUUGAAAAUGGUGGAUACGGACAAUUCUUGCUAUGCAACAAUUUGCGAGCGCCUCACCACACUAGAUCAGUCCUCCUCUAUAACUCCCUCGUCAUCUCGCCGGCCUUCUGUCUCUGGUGCUGCCGCUGCCAUUAAAUCUUUAUUCUCGUCCUCCUCUAAAACUACCGCUACCACCAACUAUAACUUCCCCCCACUUCCAUCUCAGAAGCCCUCCAAACCCACCUCAUUUUUUCCUGACCUUCGUCGCACUAAAUCAUUUUCAGCCUCUAAGAACGAAGGAUUUGGCCUCUUUUCCGGUGCUUUUGAGCCCCAGAGAAAAUCUUGUGACGUCCGGGUGAGGAACACACUUGGGUCACUCUUCACCAUCAACGACGACAAUAAAACCGC